AGUGAACGCUGGCGGUAGGCCUAACACAUGCAAGUCGAACGGCAGCACAGUAAGAGCUUGCUCUUACGGGUGGCGAGUGGCGGACGGGUGAGGAAUACAUCGGAAUCUACUUUUUCGUGGGGGAUAACGUAGGGAAACUUACGCUAUAACGCAAUAGGCCUAACGGGUGAAACAAGGGAAUUUUCGAACUUUGCGCGAUUAAUUGACCGAUGUCGGAUUAGCUAGUUGGCGGGGUAAAGGCCCACCAAGGCGACGAUCCGUAGCUGGUCUGAGAGGAUGAUCAGCCACACUGGAACUGAGACACGGUCCAGACUCCUACGGGAGGCAGCAGUGGGGAAUAUUGGACAAUGGGCGCAAGCCUGAUCCAGCCAUACCGCGUGGGUGAAGAAGGCCUUCGGGUUGUAAAGCCCUUUUGUUGGGAAAGAAAAGCAGCAGGUUAAUACCCCGCUGUUCUGACGGUACCCAAAGAAUAAGCACCGGCUAACUUCGUG
rnacentral:rRNA from 1 species